CAUUGUGCAUUUUUGGAAUUGGCACGUCCUUCAACAUGGCGCGCAGAGAACGAUUUAUAGGUCAUAAGCUGGAGAAUCGAGGACCGAGGAGUCGAGGAGGUACAAAUUUGAGAAUUGGGA